GAGUGACAGGCAUGAGCAGAGCACGAACUUGCGAGAGAUGAUGAAGGGGCAAGGAAGGAGGACGAGAGAGGAGAGGGCAUUACAGUAGAAGGCCAAGGUGUACUUGUUGAGCCCGUCGGACAUGGCCAUUUUCGCCACCACCAUGCUGCUCGCUUGAACCAGAACCACCAUUAUCAUCCCCACGAACGGCAGCGAAGCCCCGGCCCUCCCCUCCAUCUCCA
rnacentral:lncRNA from 1 species